rnacentral:tRNA from 1 species
GCUGGUGUGGCUCAGUUGGCAGAGCAAUUGAUUCGUAAUCAAUAGGUCGCCGGUUCGAAUCCGGCCACCAGCUCCA